rnacentral:tRNA from 1 species
GCCGAAGUGGCGGAACUGGUAGACGCGCUAGGUUCAGGGUCUAGUGUCCGUAUGGAUGUGCGAGUUCGAGUCUCGCCUUCGGCACCA